CCUACGGGAGGCAGCAGUGAGGAAUAUUGGUCAAUGGACGAGAGUCUGAACCAGCCAAGUAGCGUGAAGGAUGACUGCCCUAUGGGUUGUAAACUUCUUUUAUAUGGGAAUAAAAUGUUCCACGUGUGGGAUUUUGUAUGUACCAUAUGAAUAAGGAUCGGCUAACUCCGUGCCAGCAGCCGCGGUAAUACGGAGGAUCCGAGCGUUAUCCAGAUUUAUUGGGUUUAAAGGGAGCGUAGGUGGAUUGUUAAGUCAGUUGUGAAAGUUUGCGGCUCAACCGUAAAAUUGCAGUUGAAACUGGCAGUCUUGAGUACAGUAGAGGUGGGCGGAAGUCGUGGUGUAGCGGUGAAAUGCUUAGAUAUCACGAAGAACUCCGAUUGCGAAGGCAGUUCACUGGACUGCAACUGACACUGAGGCUCGAAAGUGUGGGUAUCAAACAGGAUUAGAUACCCGUGUAGUC
rnacentral:rRNA from 1 species